rnacentral:rRNA from 1 species
AGUGAACGCUGGCGGUAGGCCUAACACAUGCAAGUCGAACGGCAGCACAGUAAGAGCUUGCUCUUACGGGUGGCGAGUGGCGGACGGGUGAGGCAUACAUCGGAAUCUACUUUUUCUUGGGGGAUUACGGAGGGCAACUUAUGCUAAUACCGCAUACGACCUACGGGUGAAAGCAGUGGAUCUUCGCACCUUUCGCGUCUGUAUGAGACGAUGCCGGAUUAGCUAGUUGGCGUGGUAAAGGCCCACCAAGGCGACGAUGCGUAGCGGGGCUGAGAGGAUGAUCAGCCACACUGGAACUGAGACACGGUCCAGACUCCUACGGGAGGCAGCAGUGGGGAAUAUUCGACAAUGGGCGCAAGCCUGAUCCAGCCAUACCGCGUGGGUGAAGAAGGCCUUCGGGUUGUAAAGCCCUGUUGUUGGGAAAGAAAAGCAGCAGAUUAAUACCCCGCUGUUCUGACGGUACCCAAAGAAUAAGCACCGGCUAACUUCGUG